GUUGAUUCAAAAAACAAGUCAACAUUGCCAAAAUGGAACAUAUAAUGCAAAAUCCCUUGGUGUACAGGUAUGGCUACCUAGAAGUUGAGAAGUCGUUGCUGAUGCCAUGUUAUAUUCAAUACAAGAGUUGUAGAGUAAGUAGGAUUCUCAUGUGUCAUAGGGAUUGUGGACCAAAUAGAAUUCAAGGAGCUGGGAAAGAGCCAUUGUACCAAUUCUCAGGCAAACCUUCUGCUGAAACCAAAGGUAUCUGAUAUUUCAUCACAAUGACUUCCAAAAUGCCAUCGGUUCUAAACUGCGGGGAACAUAAUCUGGGAUCAACAGGUCCUGGCAAAUUGAACGAUAUGGUAAAAGGCCCAGGGGAAGGAAGCUGCUGAACUUUCAUCUCAUAACCCUUGAGUGAGUUUUUCAAAGCCUCACUCUCUGUAAUCACACCUUCUAUCCGGACUCUCCCUUCUCUCUGUAUGUCAAAUUGGAUAUUACAUUUAUGCCUUACACCAGGAAGCGCAACACGAAAAAUAUAUGCAUUAUCACUACUGCCUAUGUCAACCAAACCAAGUGGCGGUCCAAUUGGACAUGUUUUUGCAGUCCCAGUCAGAAUGAUAUCGGGUUUGGCAUGAGACUUUGCAGAUUCAUUUGGAUUCAUGUUUUACAGCUGUACCAAGCAAGUAAGCUCCCUCACUGAAGCCCUCUCCUUUGAAGAGAUUCGUAGCCAAAAUUGAACGCCGCUCUACUUCAGC
rnacentral:misc_RNA from 1 species